AUGCAUUUCUACUUGUUAUUCAAUCGUGUUGGGCUUAUCGACUCGUUUAUCGUGUCAAUGAGGAAUACCAGUAAAUGUAAAUCCAUCAGUCAGAAGGCAUUUUUUCUCCUCUAAAGGCUCCUCUCCGCCCCUUAACGUCCAGUCUUUCCCCACUUGGCUCUCCCUGUCCUGUCAAGGGGUUCGGUGGAAAAGUCUUUUAAGUUCCCUUCACAGAAGAAUUGUAGACUCUGCCGGUCUAGUCUCUGGGCCAACCCUCCCCGUCUCUUUAGUAAAGAUGUUUUUUAUUAUUUUCCUUGUGCCGUAUAUUAUCCUUAGGCUUGAGUAACUUUCCGGGACUGCAGACCUCUUGGUUUCCUUUCAAUCUGGAGGACUUGAUCCCAUGGCCAGCUUCGGAGCUCACCAGGAGGGGAAGACCCAUUACAUCCACGGGCGUCUGGCGCCACCUUGUGAUGGAGUCUCUCUCUGUUGCACAGGCUGGAGUGUGGUGGCACCAUCAUGACUCACUGCAACCUCCAUCUCCUGGGUUCAAGCAAUUCUCCUGCCUCAGCCUCCAGAGUAGCUGGGAUUACAGGAUCUUACUCUGUUGCCCAGACUGGAGUGCUGUGGCAGGAUCACGACUCACUGCAGCCUUGACCUCCUGGGCUCAAGUGAUUUAUCCUGCCUCAACCUUCCCACAGUUGGUACUACAGUUGUGCACCCACCUGGGAUUGGAGUUCCAGAAGGGGAGAGGGAUUGCAGCACUGUUCACAACAGCCAAGAUUCAGAAGCAACCUGAGUGUCCAUCAACAGACAAAUGGAUAAAGAAAAUGUGGCACAUACACACAAUGGAGUACUAUCAACCAUAAAAAUGAGUGACAGCCUGUCAUUUGCAACAACAUGGAUGGAAUUGGAGGUCAUUAUGUUAAGUGAAAGAAGCCAGGCGCAGAAAGACAAACUUUGCAUGUUCUCACUCGUCUGUGGGGACUAAAAAUUAAAACAAUUGAAGUCAUGAAGAUAGAGCAUAGAAGGAUGGUUACCAGAGGCUGAGGAGGGCAGUGAGGAAAAGUGGGGAUGCUUAAUGGGUACAAAAAUAGAGUCAGAUAGAAUUAAUAAGAUCUAGUAUGUGAUAGCACAAUGAGGUGACUACAAGUCAACAAUAAUUUAUUGAAUAUUUUAAAAUAACCAAAAGAGUAUAAUUGGAAUGUUCAUAACACAAAGAAAUGAUACAUGCUUGAGGUGAUGGAAACCCCAUCGACCCUGAUGUGGUUAUUACACAUUGUAUGCUUGUAUCAAAACAUCUCAUGUACCCCAUAAAUAUAUACACCUACUAUGUAUCCAUAAAAAUUAAAAGAAAAAACAAAGGAAGAAGGGAACUGGGCUCAGGAAGGUCUUACUUGAUUGGAACAGUUGAAGGCUGGUUUUGGCUCUCUGGGCCCUGUUGAGGUUUAAAGCUGAUUCUUUCUCCUAUGGGCACUUUUGUGAAUUUUUUGUAGGCAUCCCUGCUGAAACUAAGACUGUCACUCCUGUGAGGUAGGCAACACAUUUUUUUUAAAGCUUUAUUCCUUAGCCUCUGGUUUUCCUAGACGCCGCCUUCCACUCUGCAUUGCAGGCUGUUUGGCUUCCUCAAGGUGAGCCAGGCUCCCACCUUCUUUCUUCCUUAGUGGCAGGGACACAAACCAAGCUGUCUGCAUGGGACCCUAAGCUUGGGGCUAAGAGGUCAUCUGCUCCAUUCCACCCUUUCCCUGGGGCCAUGAGACUCAGAGGGCUUCAACAGCUCUCUUCAAAGACAUCCUCUUCACACGUCCUUGGAAAUGUCCAACAACUCAGUCCUUUUCAUAUGCUUUCAAAAGGUGGCAGGCAUGAUUUUUAAAUGACUUUUAGUCUGGGUGUGGUGGCCCACACCUGUAAUCCUAGCAGUUCUGGAAGCUGAGGCAGAUGGAUUGCUUGAGCCCACGAAUUCGAGACCAGCCUGGGCGACAUGGCAGAACCUCAUCUCUACAAAAAAUUAAAAAAUUAGCCAGGUGUGGUGACAUUCACCUAUAGUCCUAGCUACUCGGGUGGCUGAGUGGGGAGGAUCACCCAAGCCCGGGAGGUCGAGGCUACAAUAAGCUGUAAUCACACCACUGCACUCCAUCCUGGGAGACAGAGUGAUACCCUGUCUUAAAAAAAUUAGUUUUAAGGUUAACAUUAUGUUACAUACUGAAAUGGUAAGGAGAGAACGGUGUCCUUGCAAUGAGAGCAGGAUAUUAUUAAACAAAAAUAGGCAGUCAUGAAAUAUAUUGCUAUUGGAAAUAAAAAAAAGACUGCAACAGGCAGGAUAGACAACCGGUGAAAAUAGCUGGUGAAAGAUAAGUGAAUUAAAAGAUAGAAAUGGUGGGCGCAUUGGCGCCUGUCUGUAAUGGGCUCACAGUGCAUUGAAAGGCCAGAAGUUUGAGACCAGCCUGAGCAACAUAGUGACAUCCCAUCUCUUAAAAAUAAAAAAAAAAUUAGCUGAAUGAUGACAUGUACCUGUAGUCCCAGCUACUUGGGAGGCUGAAGUGAGAGGAUUUGCUUGGGCCCAGGAGUUUGAAGUUGCAAUAAGCUAUGAUCGUACCACAGCACUCC